UAUUUUCUCCCGCAUCUCCAGCGCCUUUGAGCACUCUGGAAGUGUACAACGAUUUAAUUCUUAAUUUAACUUUUUUAGAAUAUGAUAAUACAAAGUCUUUACGUUUGGUUGUUAUAACUGAAAAGGAGCGAAAUAUAUAUUUGGUCACAAUAAAAAGUUCUCCAGAAGAUUCGGUAGUGAAUACAGAAUUUCCCAAGUCAGUGUUGCAAAACUCCAUUAAUUUAGUUGAUAGUAAUAAUCUGGAUUUUCUUCUUUGUGGCAAUAACAGUAACAACAAUAAUUAUGAUGAUAAUAAUACUAACCACACCAAAAAAAAAUCGUGGACUGGCGUAUUCAACGCGCCAUCUCACUUGUUGCCGCCCAUUCGCCAACUUUUUCCACAUUUUGUUUCUAAUCUUCUUCAGUGUACUAAAGACUCUACUAAGAGCCAGUCGAUCCAAGAUUUCUCGAAUUUUCAAAUGCCGACCGCUCCCACUUGGGUUCCUACUAAGGCUGUUCUAGAUGAAGUUACAAAUCAUAACUUAAGUUUAAGGGCCCCAAUUGAUUUCAAUUUUUUGGCUAACGUUUUUGCUCAAAUAGAGCUCAAACCAAAGGACGCUGAAAGUAAUUUAAGAGGUUAUAAAUAUAAAUUACUUGCAGAUAAACAUCCCUCCAAAGAGGAAAUUAUUUAUAAACAUACGAAUGGAAUUGUAAAAAUUAACGAUAAAGUCGAAACGCCCUCUGUUACUCAAAAGGAAAUAUUUAAAAGGAAAGUAAAAAAGAGUUCAAAACUAAAUUCUUAUAAAAAUACAAAUCAAGAAUUAACUUUGAACGGAAUCACUGCAGUGGACUCGGCGGGAAAAAGAGCAGCCACUGUCCCAACAACAAAGUUAAUAGCAAAAACAAGAAAAAUAGUCAAAGAUAA